rnacentral:rRNA from 1 species
GCUGAUGAAGGUGCAUUGAGAAGUGUGCUGGAGGUAUCAGAAGUGCGAAUGCUGACAUGAGUAACGAUAAUGUGGGUGAAAAGCCCACACGCCGGAAGUCCCAGGUUUCCUGCACGACGUUAAUCGGAGCAGGGUGAGUCGGCCCCUAAGGCGAGGCUGAAGAGCGUAGUCGAUGGGAACCAGGUUAAUAUUCCUGGACUUUUUAUAAGUGGUGAAGUGGGGACGAAGAAGGCUAGGUGAGCCAGGCGUUGGUUGUCCUGGUACUUGCAUGUAGGGGGGAAGACUUGGCAAAUCCGGUUUUCCAUAACUCUGAGGUGCGAAGUGGUUCUGACCUUUUGGUACAGAGAAGUCAUUGAUGCCCGGCUUCCAGGAAAAGCUGCUAGCCAUAACUUAUAGAGAACCGUACCGCAAACCGACACAGGUGGACAGGUAGAGAAUACUAAGGCGCUUGAGAGAACUCGGGUGAAGGAACUAGGCAAAAUGGUACCGUAACUUCGGGAGAAGGUACGCCCUUUCUGGUGAUGGGAUUUACUUUCAGAGCUGGAGAGGGCCGCAGAGACCAGGUGGCUGCGACUGUUUAUUAAAAACACAGCACUCUGCAAAUUCGUAAGAAGACGUAUAGGGUGUGACGCCUGCCCGGUGCCGGAAGGUUAAUUGAUGGGGUUAUCUUCGGAGAAGCUCUUGAUCGAAGCCCCGGUAAACGGCGGCCGUAACUAUAACGGUCCUAAGGUAGCGAAAUUCCUUGUCGGGUAAGUUCCGACCUGCACGAAUGGCGUAACGAUGGCCACACUGUCUCCACCCGAGACUCAGUGAAAUUGAAAUCGCUGUGAAGAUGCAGUGUACCCGCGGCUAGACGGAAAGACCCCGUGAACCUUUACUAUAGUUUUGCACUGGACUUUGAUGAUGACUGUGUAGGAUAGGUGGGAGGCUGUGAAGUGAGGACGCUAGUUCUCAUGGAGCCGCCCUUGAAAUACCACCCUGUUGUUAUUGAGGUUCUAACUUGGUCCAGUAAUCCUGGAUGAGGACAGUGUAUGAUGGGUAGUUUGACUGGGGCGGUCUCCUCCCAAAGAGUAACGGAGGAGCACAAAGGUACCCUCGGUACGGUCGGACAUCGUACCAAGAGUGUAAAGGCAAAAGGGUGCUUGACUGCGAGAGUGACGGCUCGAGCAGGAACGAAAGUUGGUCUUAGUGAUCCGGUGGUUCUGAAUGGAAGGGCCAUCGCUCAACGGAUAAAAGGUACUCCGGGGAUAACAGGCUGAUACCGCCCAAGAGUUCAUAUCGACGGCGGUGUUUGGCACCUCGAUGUCGGCUCAUCACAUCCUGGGGCUGAAGCAGGUCCCAAGGGUAUGGCUGUUCGCCAUUUAAAGUGGUACGCGAGCUGGGUUUAGAACGUCGUGAGACAGUUCGGUCCCUAUCUGCCGUGGGCGUAGGAAAAUUGAGAGGAGCUGCUCCUAGUACGAGAGGACCGGAGUGGACGAACCUCUGGUGCACCGGUUGUCACGCCAGUGGCAUGGCCGGGUAGCUAAGUUCGGACGGGAUAACCGCUGAAAGCAUCUAAGCGGGAAGCCUCCCUCAAGAUGAGUUUUCCCAUGAAGCCCGUUGAAGACUACGACGUUGAUAGGCAAGGUGUGGAAGCGCAGUAAUGCGUGAAGCUAACUUGUACUAAUUGGCUGAUUGUCUUGACCAU